UGAGGAAUAUUGGUCAAUGGACGCAAGUCUGAACCAGCCAUGCCGCGUGAAGGAUGAAGGCCUUCUGGGUUGUAAACUUCUUUUAUCUGGGAAGAAACCCCUGAUUUCUAUUAGGGCCGACGGUACCAGAGGAAUAAGCACCGGCUACCUCCGUGCCAGCAGCCGCGGUAAUACGGAGGGUGCAAGCGUUAUCCGGAUUCACUGGGUUUAAAGGGUGUGUAGGCGGGCGUUUAAGUCAGUGGUGAAAUCUCCGAGCUUAACUUGGAAACUGCCAUUGAUACUAUUCGUCUUGAAUUCUGUUGAGGUGGGCGGAAUAUGUCAUGUAGCGGUGAAAUGCAUAGAUAUGACAUAGAACACCGAUUGCGAAGGCAGCUCACUAAGCAGACAUUGACGCUGAGGCACGAAAGCGUGGGGAUCAAAC
rnacentral:rRNA from 1 species